UUGUGUUCUGCGGGUGGUUUGUAAGCCUGUGAUAAAGAAUUCACCCAUGAAUAUAAUUCAAAACUGCAUGAGUCAUACACUAAACAUACAUCCAAGAACCUCACGAAAUCUUCAGGAAGCUUAUCAUCACAGACAUGUGGAAACAUCAGUGUACAGGAAUGGCACUGAAUUAAGUACACUCCUGGACAAGUGACAAUAAUGAAGCCACCCUAAACAAGUCAAGUGCUCGAACCAGUUUAAACUGAAUGCCACGAUCGUCAGGCACCAGAGUGAUACGCCUCUGAAAGCCUGCUUGGGAUAAUAAUCAACCUAUUAAGGAAAUAUGUUCCACGUUGGGAAGACUUUCUUAUAGUAAACCACAGUUAACGGCAAAAAGCAAUCCAGCAGGCCCGCAGCAGC